UGGGGAAUCUUAGACAAUGGGCGAAAGCCUGAUCUAGCCAUGCCGCGUGAGCGAUGAAGGCCUUAGGGUUGUAAAGCUCUUUCGCUAGGGAAGAUAAUGACUGUACCUAGUAAAGAAGUCCCGGCUAACUCCGUGCCAGCAGCCGCGGUAAUACGGAGGGGACUAGCGUUGUUCGGAAUUACUGGGCGUAAAGCGCGCGUAGGCGGGUUGUUAAGUUAGAGGUGAAAUCCCAGGGCUCAACCCUGGAACUGCCUUUAAUACUGGCAGCCUAGAGAUUGGGAGAGGUGAGUGGAAUUCCGAGUGUAGAGGUGAAAUUCGUAGAUAUUCGGAGGAACACCAGUGGCGAAGGCGGCUCACUGGCCCAAUACUGACGCUGAGGUGCGAAAGCGUGGGGAGCAAACAGG
rnacentral:rRNA from 1 species